GAAACGAGUCGACCGGAGCCAAGCUACCGCGAGUAUGAAGUGCCAGCCCACUGCCAUGCAAACCACCAAUUAAAGCUUGGCGAGCCGCCGGAGGCUCGCGAGCCGCGCAAUGAGUAACACUGGUCUAACCUGUGGGGAGUCGGAGUAGUAGCCCAGGACAAGAACCCCGAAGCUGGAGUUUGCUCUGGCUGAAUUUGAGCCUAAGUGCUAACUGCUAUUGGAAGCUCCGUUUGUCUCCCCGAGUCGCCCCUCACUCUACACCCGGUGAAGCAGCCUCCCGGUGGCAGUGCAGAUGAGGCAAGGGUGAGUCACCAUAGUCAUGGGCCAUAUGUAUGAGGCAUUUCCUGCUUCCUGGAGGUUUCUGGAUAGUGAACACUGGCCACCAAAAAAAGAAAAACUUGUAUGUUGUACUGGAAAUUCUGUCUAUAUUAAUAGCUAGCUUGGCAGAUGGCAAGCCUGUGCUGAACCACUGAUUUUGGUUAUGAUAUUACCAUUAUUAUCAAAAGUUUUACUGCUAAUGUCUUUCAGUCCAUCUUUACACAGAAAGGUUGAGGUAUGAUGGUAACUAACAAUAAGUUGAAAGUUGACUUUCACACAAGAGUAGACUGUUUUGACGUGGCAAUUAUAAUUAUUUUUUAUGCGUUAUUCUAGGAACUUAGGGGUAAUAUUGGACUCUAACUUCAUUUCAUCCAUCCAUCCAUCCAUCCAUCCAUCCAGCAAUGUGAGAUGAUUUAUUUUAUUUCAUAUGAUAUGGCAAAUUAUUUUAGUUUUUAUUUAGUUUAGUUUGUUAAAGAUUUUAGUUUAUUAUAAUGAAUGUCUUAUCU